CGACCGGCGCACGGUGAGUAACGCGUAUCCAACCUGCCCACCACUUGGGGAUAACCUUGCGAAAGUAAGACUAAUACCCAAUGAUAUCUCUAGAAGACAUCUGAAAGAGAUUAAAGAUUUAUCGGUGAUGGAUGGGGAUGCGUCUGAUUAGCUUGUUGGCGGGGUAACGGCCCACCAAGGCAACGAUCAGUAGGGGUUCUGAGAGGAAGGUCCCCCACAUUGGAACUGAGGCACGGUCCAA
rnacentral:rRNA from 1 species